UACCUCAUUCGUGACUCGUGAGACACAGAUACCACUGGCAUCUCAUAGCUUAAAUACCCUUGCAAUCAGACUGAGUCUAUCUCCUUCACCUCUGUCCGCUGAGAGCAAAUGGCGCUUGCUAACAGCGGCUCCACUGCCGUUCCACAAGGAGAACCUGCGGUCCCUCCAGCCAUUCUGGGUAGCGAUCCUCCGGCCGUGAAGCCUCCAGCUGCUCCAGGUAGCGAUUCUCCGGCAGCUCCGGGUGGCGAUGCCCCAACAGCAGCACCUGUUAAGCCUCCGGCAGUUCAGCCGGGUCCCGAGAACAGCCCAUUUCCGCCGCCAAUACAUGAUAUAUAAUGACAUCGACAGAAUUACCAGCAUUAGUUGGGAUCCAGUCGUAUACAUGGUCCUGCAAAUGACUUUGGUUCAGUUUACAUCCAAAAAUUUGAUUUCAGACGAACAAUGUUGAGUGUUAAAUUUUAGAUUAAGAUUUCAUUUCGCCAUUGGAGGCAGACAUCAUGCAGUAGUUGUGCUUGAGUGUAUGGAGCUCUCUCUUCUACUACUUCGCCAUAAACUUGUCCCAUGUUGUAGUUGUGCUUGAGUGUAUGAUGCAGAAGCAGCUCAUGUGUUGUCGUCACCGAUCUCCUGAUGUUCACAGUCUCCUUGAGGAAUUCAUGUGAUAGGGUCGAUGAAAUGCACAAAGAAACUGCACCCAAUUUUCCUAUA